rnacentral:rRNA from 1 species
AUGAAUGGCCGCGGUACCCUGACCGUGCUAAGGUAGCGUAAUCAGUUGGCUUUUAAAUGGAGUCAGGUAUGAAUGGGAUAACCGGGCUUAGCUGUCUCAAAGACAUUUAUUUGAAUUUACUGUUCAAGUGAAAAAGCUUGACGUAAGAAAGGGACGAGAAGACCCUUAGAAUUUUGUUUAAARAGGAUUAUUUCCYCYAWGRUUUUGUUGGGGCGACAGAGAAAUAAUUAAAACUUUCUUUAAAUUAAUCAGUCGGAAUUUUCAGGUUAGGAUAAAUUACCUGAGGGAUAACAGCAUAAUUUUAUAAAUAAGUUUGUGACCUCGAUGUUGGACUAGGAAGCUAAUGGGUUAGCUGCUCAUUGUGCGGAUUCUGUUCGAAU